rnacentral:rRNA from 1 species
GACGAACGCUGGCGGCGUGCCUAAUACAUGCAAGUUGAGCGCUGAAGGUUGGUACUUGUACCAACUGGAUGAGCAGCGAACGGGUGAGUAACGCGUGGGGAAUCUGCCUUUGAGCGGGGGACAACAUUUGGAAACGAAUGCUAAUACCGCAUAAAAACUUUAAACACAAGUUUUAAGUUUGAAAGAUGCAAUUGCAUCACUCAAAGAUGAUCCCGCGUUGUAUUAGCUAGUUGGUGAGGUAAAGGCUCACCAAGGCGAUGAUACAUAGCCGACCUGAGAGGGUGGUCGGCCACAUUGGGACUGAGACACGGCCCAAACUCCUACGGGAAGCAGCAGUAGGGAAUCUUCGGCAAUGGACGAAAGUCUGACCAAGCAACGCCGCGUGAGUGAAGAAGGUUUUCGGAUCGUAAAACUCUGUUGGUAGAGAAGAACGUUGGUGAGAGUGGAAAGCUCAUCAAGUGACGGUAACUACCCAGAAAGGAACGGCUAACUACGUG